rnacentral:lncRNA from 1 species
AAUCGGGCACGAAAGACAAGACUUUCUUGAGCACAAGGUCCCUCGGAACACACGAGGCUUGACCUUCUCGUCGAAUGCUUUUUUCACUCUCUGCUGAUAUGACUGACCAUGACACAUGGCAGUUGAUCUCUUCUUUUCGAUCGAAUUCAGCAUCAGUCAACUUGGGACUUUGAGGGUGCUAUCUUCUUUGUUUCUUUCUUUCUUUUUCUUUCUUUUGAUUUGGAUUUCUUUUGAUUUUGCACCCUCUCUUUCUUUUUUCUUUCUCUUUUUUUUUGAUAAUGCCCCAGUUGGCUGUUCUGCUGAUUCUCGAGAUGCAGCUGAGUGUGAUCUUCUUUUCUUGCUCAAGAAGUCGGGAAAUCUCGUCAGGAAUCCCUUCAACAUCAUCUU